AGCCAGGUGCAUUGGGGAAAGCACUGACAUCGGCGUCAGACAGACUUAAGUUCAUAUCUGAUUCUGCUAUAUGACAACGUGUGGGCUAUGUGGCUAACUUCUCAGAGCUUCAGUUUUCCCAAGGGCAAAAUGAAAAUAAUAGAAAUAAUAGAAUCCACCUCACAGGGCUGUGAAAUUAAAGGGGAUGAAAGAUACAUUGGUCCCUGCAGUGGGAAGUUUCCUUGACAAUGCAAUUAUUGAUUCCAGAACUUUCAUGGUGAAAGAAGAGGGCAAAACUCAACCCAUCUCUUUAGACUUGGGAAGAAUAUGAAAGGACCAGGAGGGACACCUUUCCUAAUAACCUAGCUGAUGGUUCACUUAUUAGGCUGGAAAGCUAAAAAAUGACAUUCCCAGACUCCACUGGAAUUAGAUUUCCAGAGGUGAUUUAUAUUCCACACAUCAGAUGUAUAUGCUCAAGAUUUGUUUAACAGGGAAGGAGGCAGUGGUGUGUGGGUCCCUUUUGCUCAUGUGAAUCUUACAGAGUUGUCUCACUAAGCCCAAAUUUGUCUAACUGGCCUUAUUUCCCCAGAGUAUACCCUGGAAGUUUCCAUUCAAGCCAAUUUAAGUUACUUUAAAUUAGGAAAGGCAGAAAACAAAAGCCCAAACCUUUGUAAAGGAGGAGGAUUUGCUACAUUGUUCUCAAUUCAUCACAGAAUAGGAUGAAACUGAGUGACUACACUUGCUGGAGAGAAAAAAAGUCCUUCCCCUGCUCCCCUCAAAUAAAGCAUUAACCUUAUGUUAAUCCAUGAA
rnacentral:antisense_RNA from 1 species